rnacentral:misc_RNA from 1 species
AACAAUGCUUCUCUGUCGCUUCACCAUUAUUUUUCGUUGUUUAAAAUUUUCGCGGAUUUUUCUGUAAAAAAGUGGCGCAUUUUCAAAAAUUAUCAAUGACAAUUUUAUUUUCCGGGAAACAUCAUUCAUUAACCUUACCUGAGCUGAAAACUUUAGAAUGUGAUAUCCUAAAUCCCGACCGCUUUAUUAAUCUGGAGAUUAGUAACAAGAGGAGAACAAGCGUAAUUUCAUCUCGAGAUUAAGAAAUGAGUCUGCAUUAAUCCCGAAAUCCAACAUUCAAAAGUUCACAGCUCUGGUGUCAUUUAAGUUGUCACGAAAGAAAUCUGGCAUUAUCGGUUUAGCCGUUUGGACGGUUAUAGGAUAAAAGCAAAGUAUAUUUUAAAGAUUAUAGAUGUAUUCACAGUUAAUAUUUUAUUUAGGAACUUUAUUUUGUCCAGAAAACAAGGGUAGUUCUUUAUCAAUCUUACACCCCCCCCCCAUAUCUGUAAAAUAUUACUUUUUUUUGAUUUUUUUCGUUAAAUUAGAAAAAACAAAUGAAUUUUUGUUAAAAUGUAUGAAAAGCCCCUGUAAAUCUUGCCAGUUGUCAAAAUUAGGGUUUUCUCCAAAAUCUUUAAAAAUCACUAUUUGUUGAUUAUAAUUGUGUUUCCGGAAAAUGUACAAUUGUUGAAGUAUUAAUUUUUUUAAAAUUUAAAUGUUAGUUUAUGUAUUUAUAGAUUUGAUUGACUGAUAGAUUCAUCUAUAAUAAUAAUAUAUGUAUUUAUGUAACACUAUUGUGAGUCCUCAAUUAUGCAUUCUUACCUAACUCUUCAAUUUUGCAGGGGUGUUCAUUUCUUAGGUUCAUUGAUUUUCUACUAAAAUAUUUUUUUCCCCAAUUCAGCAAAUAAAUCCAUAAAAAAUAAAUUUGCAUUCCAUGCAAACAUAAAGAAUUUCUAGAGGGAAAAAUUGUUUUCUAAAAGGUGGCGGGGAGGGGCGGUAAGAAAAAUUAUUUGUUCAAGAAAACAGUAUACACCCCUGCGUUUAUCAUCACUAAUUAAUACAAUUGCGUCAGAUAAGUUUGUUCUUUUUUCCCCGAUCUAGAGGAAAACUAUCCUAAGGAUUUUCCGACCUAUAUAAUGCCAUAAAAUUUUAACAUAGGUUAGGUUAGGUUAAGCUGAGUAGGUGGAGUAGGAAGUUUGGUAGGACGUAUAGUUAUAAAGGGGAGACGAUUUGAAAGCGUGAAACGCGCAGGGAGAUAAAAAUACUGGAUGUUUUUUUAAAGCUAUUCGAUAAUUAGGUCGGUUUCCUCUAGGUCAGUUUCCAUAGCAUCAAGGGAUAUUUAGAAAGCUGAGUCGUCCAUUUGUUAGACUUUUCUAAAAACUGUUAUUAUAUUUUCAGAGAUUAUGAUUACACGAAUAUGUUUGGUCUCUAGGAACUGUUCUAUGCUCAAGAUUCACUUUUAAGAUGUUAAUUAAAUCAAAAGAACGAUAAUCCGGAGAAUUUUACUUCCUUAAAUCAUGGAGAAUAAAUACAAAUGUGGUCAGUGUGAAUACGCGGGAACGAGAUUAUCGCUUUUAAAGAGGCACACAGCAAGCAAGCACGAAGGAGUUCGAUAUACUUGCGAUAAAUGUGAAUACUUGACAGUAGAUUUAUCUAGUUUGAAACUACACAAAGCUAGUAAACAUGAAGGGGUGAAAUAUCCUUGUAAUGAAUGUGAUUAUUCUGCCACAAAACCAUCGCAUUUAAAGCAUCACAAACGAAGCAAGCACGAAGGAGUUCGAUAUACUUGUGAUCAAUGUGAAUACUUGACAGUAGAUUUAUCUAGUUUGAAACUACACAAGGCUAGUAAACAUGAAGGGGUGAGAUAUCCAUGUAAUGAAUGUGAUUAUUCUGCCACCAAACCAUCAUACUUAAAGCAUCACAAACGAAGUAAGCAUGAAGGCAUGAGGUAUCCCUGUGAUCAAUGUGAAUACGCUGCAACCGUUCCAUCACAUUUAAAAAUGCACAAAGCUAGUAAACAUGAAGGAGUAAGGUACCCAUGUAAUCAAUGUGACUAUGCUGCAACCAAACCAUCAUAUCUAAAAGCGCACAAACUCAAUCAACAUGAAAGUGAAAGGUAUCCAUGUAAUCAAUGUGAUUAUGCUGCACCUAAACCAGCACAAUUAAAACUGCACAAAUUAAGUAAUCACGAGAAAGAAAGAUAUCCAUGUGAUGAAUGUCAUUACUCAGCUACCAAACCAUCACAUUUAAAACAACACAAAGCCAGUCAACAUGAUGGGGCUAGGUACCCUUGUGAUGAAUGUGAAUAUGUAGCAAACAUUUUAUAUAAUUUAAAAGUACACAAAGCAAGCCAACAUGAUGGAGUCAGGUAUCCAUGUACUGAGUGUGACUUUACUGCAACUCAACGUUCUCAUCUGAAUGCACACAUGAGGAAGAAGCAUAGUGAUAUUCAGCAGAUAGCAGAUCCGGAACCUGUUCUUGUGAAUUAUGAAUCUGAACCUGUUCUUGUGAAAUGUGAACCUGAACUUAAUCUUGUGAAAUGUGAACCUGAAUCUGAACCUGUUCUUGUGAAAUGUGAACCUGAAUCUGAACCUGUUAUUGUGAAAAAUGAACCUGAAAGUGAAAAUGAAGAUAUGACAGUAGAAGAAGUUCUUAAAGAUCGUUUUGCUUGAUUUUGAUUCGGUUUCAUGAUUUUGUAAGUUUGGGGGGGGGAUGAAGAAAAAGCUUGAUUUUUUUUUAUUUUACGGGGUCCCUGGGAAGGGAUAUAUAGUAUUAUUAAAAUAAAGUUCAAUGAGGAUUAUGAACUUUUAUCAUCAUGAGUGCUUUAAUAAAAAAUUGAGAUCU